rnacentral:rRNA from 1 species
GACGAACGCUGGCGGCGUGCCUAAUACAUGCAAGUCGAACGCUGAAGGAGGAGCUUGCUUCUCUGGAUGAGUUGCGAACGGGUGAGUAACGCGUAGGUAACCUGCCUGGUAGCGGGGGAUAACUAUUGGAAACGAUAGCUAAUACCGCAUAAGAGUAGAUGUUGCAUGACAUUUGCUUAAAAGGUGCAAUUGCAUCACUACCAGAUGGCCCUGCGUUGUAUUAGCUAGUUGGUGGGGUAACGGCUCACCAAGGCGACGAUACAUAGCCGACCUGAGAGGGUGAUCGGCCACACUGGGACUGAGACACGGCCCAGACUCCUACGGGAGGCAGCAGUAGGGAAUCUUCGGCAAUGGACGGAAGUCUGACCGAGCAACGCCGCGUGAGUGAAGAAGGUUUUCGGAUCGUAAAGCUCUGUUGUAAGAGAAGAACGAGUGUGAGAGUGGAAAGUUCACACUGUGACGGUAUCUUACCAGAAAGGGACGGCUAACUACGUG